rnacentral:misc_RNA from 1 species
GAAAUGCGAUAAGUAGUGUGAAUUGCAGAAUUCAGUGAAUCAUCGAAUCUUUGAACGCACAUUGCGCCCCUUGGUAUUCCAUGGGGCAUGCCUGUUCGAGCGUCAUUUGUACCCUCAAGCUCUGCUUGGUGUUGGGCGUCUGUCCCGCCUCCUUCGCGCGCGGACUCGCCCCAAAUCCAUUGGCGGCGGCCCUUGCCUCCCUCUCGCGCAGCACAUUGCGCUUCUCGAGGCGCGGCGGACCGCGUCCAGCAAGCAACCGUCACACCGUCUUUGACCUCGGAUCAGGUAGGGAUACCCGCUGAACUUAAGC